rnacentral:rRNA from 1 species
GAUGAACGCUGGCGGCGUGCUUAACACAUGCAAGUCGAACGGAAAGGCCCAAGCUUGCUUGGGUACUCGAGUGGCGAACGGGUGAGUAACACGUGGGUGAUCUGCCCUGCACUUCGGGAUAAGCCUGGGAAACUGGGUCUAAUAUCGGAUAGGAUCACAUUAUGGAUGGUGUGGUGGAAAGUUGUUCGGUGUGGGAUGAGCUCGCGGACUAUCAGCUUGUUGGUGGGGUAAUGGCCUACCAAGGCGUCGACGGGUAGCCGGCCUGAGAGGGUGUACGGCCACAUUGGGACUGAGAUACGGCCCAGACUCCUACGGGAGGCAGCAGUGGGGAAUAUUGCACAAUGGGCGCAAGCCUGAUGCAGCGACGCCGCGUGGGGGAUGACGGCCUUCGGGUUGUAAACUACUUUCGCUAGGGACGAAGCGCAAGUGACGGUACCUGGAGAAGAAGCACCGGCUAACUACGUG